GGGUGUCAUAAAUAGGCCAACGUCAUGACACUGUCUUGGUUUGUCAGUAACUGUCUGAUUAUAGACUGUCUGAAUGGAGGAGAAGGUAAAGACAUGGCAGAUUAUAGACUGUCUGAAUGGAGGAGUAGGUAAAGACAUGACAGAUUAUAGACUGUCUGAAUGGAGGAGUAGGUAAAGACAUGGCAGAUUAUAGACUGUCUGAAUGGAGGAGUAGGUAAAGACAUGACAGAUUAUAGACUGUCUGAAUGGAGGAGUAGGUAAAGACAUGGCAGAUUAUAGA